rnacentral:rRNA from 1 species
CAGGAUGAACGCUAGCUACAGGCUUAACACAUGCAAGUCGAGGGGUAGCAGGGUAGCAAUACCGCUGACGACCGGCGCACGGGUGAGUAACACGUAUCCAACCUUCCCAUAACUCAGGGAUAGCCUUUCGAAAGAAAGAUUAAUACCUGAUAGUACUUUUUCAAGGCAUCUUGAAAAAAGUUAAAGAUUUAUUGGUUAUGGAUGGGGAUGCGUUCCAUUAGAUAGUUGGUGAGGUAACGGCUCACCAAGUCUUCGAUGGAUAGGGGUUCUGAGAGGAAGGUCCCCCACAUUGGUACUGAGACACGGACCAAACUCCUACGGGAGGCAGCAGUGAGGAAUAUUGGUCAAUGGGCGAGAGCCUGAACCAGCCAAGUAGCGUGAAAAGGAUGAAGGUCCUAUGGAUUGUAAACUUCUUUUAUAGUAGAAUAAAGUGAGCCACGUGUGGUUUUUUGUAUGUAUACUAUGAAUAAGGAUCGGCUAACUCCGUGCCAGCCGCCGC